rnacentral:lncRNA from 1 species
AGAAUUUUCUAGAGUUUAAAAAUGCAUUUUAGGAUUUUAUUUGGGUUUAUUUAAAGCUUAGAAACAUUAAAACUAUUUUUACAAAUGUCUUUUUGAGUGGGAAUAAUUUUCCUCGACUCUAAAUGAAAUAUAUUAUUUUACAAAAAAAUUGGGAAUUUUUCUGAAGCCUUUUGUUAUUUUAAAUGAUUUAAAUGGAAUUUCGGGUGAAUUAUAGAUCCUCAAAAGUAUUUUAUAAUCUUUUUCUUUUAUUCUUUUUCUUUUUCUCUGAAAAUACGCUUUCUCCGCGGGAACACGUAUUCACGGAGAAAUACGCUUUCACUUAAAACCCUGAAGGGUUAUCUUCUAAUCUCGGCCGUUCAUCUCAGAUCCAACGGUCACAUUUUUUUUCCUAUCUCUCUCUCUCUCACUGACGUGUGGGGCCCACGCGUCAUCCGCUACCUCUUGCCAUUCCGCCCACGUCGCCAGCGGCCGCGUUUUCCGGCCCAACCGCCGCGCCUGCCUGCGCGCUUCCCCGCGCCAACCCCGCGCCCGCGCGCACGCCUGCACCACCCCGCGCCCGCGCCUGCCUUCCCGCCUGCCCUCGCCGCCGCCCGCCGCGCGCGCCCGCACCCGCCUU